rnacentral:rRNA from 1 species
GGUGGUAAUGCCGGAUGUUCCACAUGAUCGCAUGUGAUUGUGGGAAAGAUUCUAUCGGCGUGGGAUGGGGUCGCGUCCUAUCAGCUUGUUGGUGAGGUAACGGCUCACCAAGGCUUCGACGGGUAGCCGGCCUGAGAGGGCGACCGGCCACAUUGGGACUGAGAUACGGCCCAGACUCCUACGGGAGGCAGCAGUGGGGAAUAUUGCACAAUGGGCGCAAGCCUGAUGCAGCGACGCCGCGUGAGGGAUGGAGGCCUUCGGGUUGUAAACCUCUUUUGUUUGGGAGCAAGCCUUCGGGUGAGUGUACCUUUCGAAUAAGCGCCGGCUAACUACGUGCCAGCAGCCGCGGUAAUACGUAGGGCGCAAGCGUUAUCCGGAUUUAUUGGGCGUAAAGGGCUCGUAGGCGGCUCGUCGCGUCCGGUGUGAAAGUCCAUCGCUUAACGGUGGAUCUGCGCCGGGUACGGGCGGGCUGGAGUGCGGUAGGGGAGACUGGAAUUCCCGGUGUAACGGUGGAAUGUGUAGAUAUCGG